CUACUAGGUAAGCAAGUAAGCUGAUAUGAACAAUGAAUAGCUACUAUGAACAUCAAUCAUGGGUAAGACUCAAUAGGUAACCCAAUCUCCAAGUGAACACAAGGUCCACAAGCAAGGCUCACAUAUCAAUCUCCUAGGGAUGUCGAGCUGGACUAUCCCCGAGUACGCCUGCGGAUAACAAGCGGCUAUCCGAGCAGCAAGCAGGGCUGCCUCUCUAGUGACCAAACUCCGGAGCGCACAACUUGAGGGGAGCGACCCCACCAAGCGCAGACAGGCAAUGUGAGCAAGAUCAUCUCACGAGCAACAACAACAACCCUUUGAGGGUAAUAUCAUCAUGGAAGCAAGGUAUACAUGUACCCAAUCUCAUAGUGUCUCAACUACACUAAUGUGAUCAUCUCAAGGAAACAUCAACAAUGUCAUUCAUCAUAGUUUUUCUAACUAGAUGCCACUUGUCAUAGUUUUCUAAACUAGAUGCCACUCGUCAAUUUGACUCAUUAUCAACACUAGUUUCAUCAUACUAGUUCUUUAGCAACAUAAGCAUUGAUCAUCUCAUAUAGGGUCUAGGUUUUCAUCAAACAAUCAUCAUGCAUACUAGAUCAUGAACCAACCAAGCAAGAUAUAUUGAGCUACUAGCAUGCAAGUAUAAGCAACAAUAAUCAUUUUCUAACCCUAUAUGUUUAUGCACAAUAUGCAAAUAGAUCAAAUUAAACUUAGACAUAGAAGGUGGCCCGAUGACUUCGGUAUGGCACUCCCCCACCUUAGGUGAUGCCG
rnacentral:lncRNA from 1 species